rnacentral:lncRNA from 1 species
GUAUUAAAAGACUUCAGAAAUGAGAUAUAAAUAAAACCCCAAAGCCCUGCAAGUGUUUUCCAUGAAAGGAGGCAUCCAGUGGGAGGACAAUGGAUCCACAGAGGUGGUUCAUGAAGAGCUACUAUUCUCGCCUUUGUCUUCGCCACUGAGGAGAUCAAAAAGAACUCUCAUCUUCUUCCCAACCUGACCUUGGGUUAUGAUAUCUACAAUUCCUUUGAAAGUGACCACAGGACUCUGGAAAAUACCCUCUUUUGGCUGUCUGGAGGGAGUUGAUCUGUCCUUAAUUACAACUGCCAGAGACAGAGGAAAUCUCUGGCCAUAGUUACAGGAAUUGCACGGGCAUUUUCAGCUGAGAUCGGAACACUUCUGGAGCUGGACAAAAUCCCAUAGGGUCACAUAUGGUCCUUUCGAUUCUUCAUUUGGUAAUAAAGACCGAUUUUCAUCUCUUUAUUGGAUGGACAGUCAUGACAGCUAUCUCACCCAUGCAAUGAUUGGACUAUUGCUGCAUUUUGACUGGACGUGGGUAUCACUCUCUUCUGUUGAAGAAAGAGAAAGUGAGCAGUUUAUUUGGGACCUGAAAGCAGAGAUGAUACUGAAAGGUUCAAAUUCAUGUGGUACGGCUAUCCAAGAGACUGUUAGGCUACAGAGAAGUUCAUAAGGCUGUAUUCCACUUCGAAGAGAAAGACAAUGCCAGGCCCCAGUGCUUAUCCAAGGCCAGGAAUAGGAAGUUGCUCUGAAGGACUUCUGGAGAAAUGUGAGCUUCCUGAGAGCAGAGGCUGUGUGUGGCAGUGUUGACUAAGUCUUGUGAGUGCAACUAAGGCAGAGGAAGGACAACUUACUGCAGCUUUGGGCUUUUAAUUGCCCAAGUGCCCUGAUAGAACAUAUUUCUUAUAAUGACCUCUCUCACUAGUCACAUAUUCAUCUAUGUAAUAAAUGCACUCUGAUUCAUUCAAAACAGAAUAAGAAAAAAUACUCAUAACAAUUAAAUUCAUGUUCUUGAAGCUGGUUGCCUUUUCUUGCUGGUAUUUAUAACUGUCUCCAUCACCCAUUCCUAUUCACUUCACCCUCAGUAAGCGCCUCAGUGGUUCCUGGAUCUUCACCUGGUUGGAUAACUCUCUUCUUUAUUCCUGAAGGAUCUAAUCAUUAGUAAUCCUGCCUGGUUUGUUUUUCUGUAGUUUUCUAUUGAUUUGAAUCAUGAGAUAUACUAAUACUAAGAAUGCCCUAAGGAAUCUCCUGAUUUCCAGACUUAGGCUUCCUCACCUUCAUUGCAGAGUGCAGAUCAAUUUCCCCUUGGUAAUCAGGGUCAGUCAUCUCAGCCAGUACAGAAAUUUUAUUUUGUGAGUCUUGGCAAAGAACACAAUUUGCUGUUUUUCUAUAUUUUUCUCUCUUCUUUAUUUCAUUCAUAUUCUUCAAAAAUGUAUUAUUUCAUUCCAUGUGAAAGAUCUGAAUUUUGUUUCCCAUAUUCUCCCAGUACUCUAAGGUGUAACAUUAGGCUGUUGAUAUAAUAACUUUGAAAAAAAUAAAACUGUAUUUGAUAUAAAGAAAACAGCUUCUUAUUAUAAACGCCAUGAUCAAUAAUUGAUAAUUAACAUCUCCCUUCUUGCUAAAGAAUCAGUUGAAAUGAUGUUAACAUGUCGUAUGCUGAUUCCAACUCUGUGAAGACCGUGAGAGCAGUUAUGGCACAGAAACCAUGAGCUCCCUGGAGGGACAUCAGCCAUGGACACAGGAUGGCAGAGCUCUCAGUGUAGGAUCCACUUGUCUCUCCCACA